UUUAAUCAGGUGCCGAAAGAUGGCAUUAAAUUUACUGUGGCUACAAAAUUUUCUUUGACAAUCCACUUCUAUUUCAAAUUCUCUUUGGCCAAAGUAAGCUUGGCCGACUAUACAACAUAAUGAAAAUAGUUGACUACGUAAACGACAAAACAGUAAAGUGAUACUGAUAAGUACUUACCGGAAGUCAGCAAAUGUUAGUAAUGUUAUAUGAAUACUGCUAAUAUAAAGUAAAUAAUAGGCUCAGCUUUGUAUUGGACUUUGGCCUGGGUUUCCCGUUUACUAAUGGUCAAUGGCGUACAAGUAUUGUAGUUAGUUUUUAAGGUUCCGUAACAUAAUGGGAAAAAAAUUACACUUAUAGUUUCGUCAUGUCCGUCUGUUCAUGCGUAUGGUAAUAAAACUAUAAGGUAAAUUUCGCUACUACGUUUAGAAGUAUUUUAUUCAAAAGGGGGGCACUUCAUAUACAUGCAACUAAAAAUAAAACAUUAUAUAUCAACGUGUGAAACAUCAUUAAUAGAUUUUUCACAAAAAAAUACUGCUCUGCUGCUUUUGUGAGAGUCAGAAUGGCGGGUGUACCUGAAUAAAAAUAAUUGAAAAGCAUAUUUUUGUACCUAAUUUGUACUAUUUAAUUUGUACCUCCAUUAAAAAAAAUUGUACCUCACGGUACAUAAAGUUAUCAUCAAAAAACAGUACACCCGCCAUCCUGACAGUCAGAAUGGCGGGUGUACUUUAUUACGCUAUGUUCCCGUGGUAAUUGAUAAAUUCUAUAUAAGCCAAAUUUUUGUACCUUUUUUGUACCUUCUUAUUCAAUUAUAAUAUGAGUCAUUUUAUUUGUGGUUUCCAAGUUUUAUUCAUUUUAUAUUUUGCUUGCUAUUACAAUUUUGCAGGCGUUAUAAUUUUUCAAGUUAUCGAUUUAAUUUUUAAGAAAAAACGCUAAGGUACAAUUAUUUUUAUUACGUCAGGAUUUAGUACCUUUAAUGUUUAAUAUGUUACGUUCAAAUAACUUAGUAAAUCAUGUCUGCCAUUCUGACUCUCACCUGCUUUCAGGACGGAAGUGCCGGAAAGAUACGCUGUUUUGCUGGUAUGGGGCUUUUUAUGUCGUAUUAAAAUACGGUCCCCCUUAAUACGACCGGUCUGGCCUAGUCGAUCGGUAGUGACACUAGUGAUCCUGCCUAUGAAGCCGAUGGUCCUGGGUUCGAAUCCCGGUAAGGGCAUUUAUUUGUGUGAUGAACACAUAUAUUUGUUACUGAGUCUGGGUGUUAUCUAUGUAUAAAAGUAUUUAUAUGUCGAUGUCCAAGUACAGUCCUGACAGUCAGAAUGGCGGGUGUACUUUAUUACGCUAUGUUCCCGUGGUUAUUGAUAAAUUCUAUAUAAGCCAAAUUUUUGUACCUUUUUUGUACCUUCAUAUUCCAAGGUUUCCAAGUUUUAUUCAUUUUAUAUUUUGCUUGCUAUUACAAUUUUGCAGGCGUUAUAAUUUUUCAAGUUAUCGAUUUAAUUUUUAAGAAAAAACGCUAAGGUACAAUUAUUUUUAUUACGUCAGGAUUUAGUACCUUUAAUGUUUAAUAUGUUACGUUCAAAUAACUUAGUAAAUCAUGUCUGCCAUUCUGACUCUCACCUGCUUUCAGGACGGAAGUGCCGGAAAGAUACGCUGUUUUGCUGGUAUGGGGCUUUUUAUGUCGUAUUAAAAUACGGUCCCCCUUAAUACGACCGGUCUGGCCUAGUCGAUCGGUAGUGACACUAGUGAUCCUGCCUAUGAAGCCGAUGGUCCUGGGUUCGAAUCCCGGUAAGGGCAUUUAUUUGUGUGAUGAACACAUAUAUUUGUUACUGAGUCUGGGUGUUAUCUAUGUAUAAAAGUAUUUAUAUGUCGAUGUCCAAGUACCUACAACACAAGCCUUAUUGAGCUUACUGUGGGACUUCAAAAAGUCAAUUAGUGUAAUAAUGUCCUAAACCAUUUAUUUAUCUAUAAAUUUACUUAAUUUCUUGUUAUUAGGUACUUGCGAUUUGUUUAUUCCGAUUCGUUAUUGCAAAUCGCUAUUUUCAUGUGUAUAAGAGUAUGAAUAAUUCAUAGCCAGGGGGACAGGUGCUCAAGCAUUUACAUAUGUAUGUAUGAAAGGUGUUUGGAAGCUGAAUGCAAAAAAUUGUAUUGUGUAGAACAUGGACAUGUAAAAUUAUUUAGGUUUUUCAAAAAGAUGAAUAUGUUUAAUAUGACCAUAUUUUUUGUAUUCAUAAUACUCGGAGACUUUCAAUAUUUUGUUAGUUAUAUAAGUCCAACAAUAAGUACGUAUGUUUCAUACCGGUAUGAAGAUGACUAUUUUAAGAUCUUUUUUUUGAGGUAAAAUCGGUUAAAUAGUCAAUGAAAAUGGACCGUUCUAAAUGUCAUAUAUAAUUAUUUUGUUAUACAAUUAUAUUUUAUAUUUAUUUAUCUAGAGUUUUUUUUUUCAAUAUAUUAUGCACUCGUUUUAUAUCUAUUAAUAUAUGUGCUUGUGAGUUAAUAUUUAUUCUCUAUUUUUAUCUCCUUGCACUACCUGUUGACCUUUUAUAUGAGUUCAUUUCCCGCUGCCCAAAGAUUGUCUGGAAGAGAUCGCUUUUUGGCGAUAAGACCGCCUGUUGUUACCUAGUUAUCAUUUUCUUCUUAAUUUUUUUGUAAUUUUGCAUACAUGGCCGUUCUGGCCUAGUGAGUAAUGACCCUGCCUAUAAAGCUGAUGGUUCUGGGUUCAAAUCCCGAUAAGGGCAUUUUUUGUGUGAUAAGCACGGGUAAUUGUUCCUGAACCUUGGGCGUUUUCUAUGUUUUUAAGUAUUUAUCGAUGUCUGAGUCCCCACAACACAAGCCUUCAGAAGGUUACUGUGGGGCUUAGUGAAUUGUGUAAUAAUGUUAAUGUACUACAAUAUUUAUUUAUGUAAAAUGUAUUAUUAUUGGAGCAAUAAAGAAUAUUUACUUACUUACUUAACAUAAUCUGUAGCAUUUUCUGUACCUAGUUUUUACUGUUUUCGUCAUACUUUCAUUUUUUUUAAUAAGUUGCAACUAGAAAUUCCAAUAUCGGAAUUCCGAUAUUUCUCUUCAAUUCCGGUUCCUAUCCAAAUAUCGUAAAAAACGGACGAAUAUUCAUGUCCUGAUAUGGCGAAAACACAUGAAUAUCACAUGUGACAGUCUCUAAACACUCUUAUAUGGCCAGCUUUACGAUGUAUCGGCACCUGUCGGUCUGUAUGUUAUCUACGCGCUCAGAAUCUUGAUAAGUUGCAACUCUUAACGUGAGUUCUUUGAAUUGUCGAGAUUAAAGCCCGACCAUUAAUAUAUGAUCAUUGUCAAAAGGGCGCUGUUAUUCUCAUGUAUAGGGGACAGAUCAGUUUA